rnacentral:rRNA from 1 species
AAAUUGAAGAGUUUGAUCAUGGCUCAGAUUGAACGCUGGCGGCAGGCCUAACACAUGCAAGUCGAACGGUAACAGGAAGCAGCUUGCUGCUUUGCUGACGAGUGGCGGACGGGUGAGUAAUGUCUGGGAAACUGCCCGAUGGAGGGGGAUAACUACUGGAAACGGUGGCUAAUACCGCAUAACGUCGCAAGACCAAAGAGGGGGACCUUCGGGCCUCUUGCC